rnacentral:lncRNA from 1 species
CUGAGGUACUCCUAGGUCUUAAAAGAAAGCAUCUUGGAUAUAGAUGAAAAGACUAUCAGUAGUAUUGAAACCUGGGCUCAGAAACCUCCAAAGUCAUCUCUGGCAUUUGUUGUCAAAGCCUGUUACAAGGCCAGUCCUGACUCAAGUGGAGAGGGGGUAAGUGUUUGCACAGAGGGGUUGUGGGGCUGCUGGAGCCUCUUUGCAACCUACCUACCCACCCCAGAGAGAGAUCCUCGGGAUUGGAUGUCUUUGCAUGUGUAUAAAAGCUGAGCUGAACCUUGAAUUGAAACAGCCCUCAAAGUUCCAAAUUAAAUUAUCACUCAUCUCGCUGUCAAAAGAAAGAGGCUCCUUUGAGCCUUGACUAGACCCUGCUUGGGUAGAGAGAGGGUAGGAAGAAGUGAGAGAAGAAUUUAAUCCACCAGAGGCUGGUGUUCCUGGGUAGACUUGGGCGUUAAGGCCUUAAGGGCAUUCCAUGGGGAUCAAGAGGAUUCGAG